UGGGAUGUAGCUCAGUGGCAGAGCACUUGCCUAGCAUGUUAGAGAUCUUGGGUUCAAUCCCCAGAAUUGCAA
rnacentral:tRNA from 1 species